rnacentral:rRNA from 1 species
CCUACGGGAGGCAGCAGUGAGGAAUAUUGGUCAAUGGGCGUAAGCCUGAACCAGCCAAGUCGCGUGAGGGAUGAAGGUUCUAUGGAUCGUAAACCUCUUUUAUAAGGGAAUAAAUUGCGGGACGUGUCCCGUUUUGUAUGUACCUUAUGAAUAAGGAUCGGCUAACUCCGUGCCAGCAGCCGCGGUAAUACGGGGGAUCCGGGCUUUAUCCGGAUUUUUUGGGUUUAAAGGGGGCGUAGGCGGCAUUUUAAGUCAGCGGGGAAAGUCUGUGGGUCAACCAUAGAAUUGCCGUUGAAACUGGGAGGCUUGAGUAUGUGAGAGGUAGGCGGAAUGCGUGGUGUAGCGGUGAAAUGCUUAGAUAUCACGCAGAACCCCGAUUGCGAAGGCAGCCUGCCAAGCCAUGACUGACGCUGAUGCACGAAAGCGUGGGGAUCAAACAGGAUUAGAUACCCGUGUAGUC